rnacentral:snoRNA from 1 species
GAGCAAGAGCGUCUCAUAAACAAUGACGAAUACUUGCAUUGAAGGUUGGCAAUAUUUGUGAAUUAGCGAUUCUCCGUGCCUUUCAUUCAUCUUGUUUUGACUAUGGCCUCGAACAGGUCGCUACUUU